UGUUUCUACUCAGCUUUCCUUUGGGUAAGGGAGACCCUCUCAGUAUCAGAGUUCAGAGAAGAGAGAGUGAUCAGAAGCUGAACAGCAGCAUCUGUCAGAGAAGAUAAAUGACUUACCAGCAAAUCAUCGUACUUAAAAGGAAGACAAAAACCUGUGGAGUGAAAUUCAAAGACCAUACCAAUGCCCUGGGCCAAAAGGAAGAACGGGAAGAGAUACUGAAACAACAAUGGCCAGGCUGUUCUCAUGCACUGAUUCGAGCUGUGAUCUCCUCAGAACCUAUCUCAUUGGGAGAAUGACACUGACACCGUUCAGCUCAUAUGGAAAGAGGAUAGGGGAGAUCCUGAAUACUCAAUGUGCAAUGUUUGUCCUAAAUCCAGGUACCUUGCCCCGAUCCACUUUGUUAUUCAGUGCAUUAAUGUCCUCUCCAUCAUCCUGUGAUGUUUGCAGACAUAAUCCUGCUCUCAGAAAUAGUUUGUGCUCCUGCAGCAUUUUCUGUUAUGCUCAGGAAAAAAUAAUUAAAAAAUAAAAAGCCUUCCACAGAGGAAAAUUCUCACAAACACUGUCUUCCCCCCCCCCAGCACUGUCUCCUUUCAGAUUUCUGCCACAGCUUGGACUUGCAUCCCUGCUGGGUACAGUGCAGGUUCAGGAGCUACUGCACAUUCCUUUGAACUACACAGCCCAUUUGAGAACUUUGGGGCUAGAAAGUCUUUCAGCCUCCCACUUUGUACGUAUGCAAUGUAAUCCAUUUGGGUCAUGAAUGUUAGACUUUAUGCUCCAACUGAGAGCCAAACCUUUUUUUUUUAAAUGCUGUAUUCAGUUCCACUUCCCCAGUGGGGCAAAGGUGCCAUGCACCAUCUGAAGUGAAUGUCAAGUGAUGGAGGCUAUGUGGGCAUGAUUGGAGCCAUGGCUUGAUCCCCCACGUCUGUGCAAAUAAAACUUGGGUAGA